rnacentral:lncRNA from 1 species
AUGAUCUCAGGGUCCUGGGAUCGAGCCCCAAAUCAGGCUCUUUGCUCAGCAGGGAGCCUGUUUCUCCCUCUCUUUCUGCCUGCCUCUCUGCCUGCAAUGAUUUUGUUCUGCAUAAUGAUAAAUUGUGGAGCAUUUUCCAUCAUUAAGCAGGGAACUGAUUUGGUGCUGAUUUUGUCUCUUGGAUUACUUUCUGAGUUCUCUCGCUCUGAUGAAGAAUUUUGGUCGAGAAAGUCUGGAUGCAGUUGUUGUGAAUAUCCAGGCCAAGGUCUAAGAGGUGAGCAGAAAUACGGGUUUGGAGAAUCUUGUUGGAUAUCUAAAAACCUAUAGCUACCACCUAUGC